AGCGAACGCUGGCGGCAGGCUUAACACAUGCAAGUCGAGCGGGCACUUUCGGGUGUCCGCGGCGGACGGGUGAGUAACGCGUGGGAACGUGCCCUCUGGUUCGGAAUAACUCAGGGAAACUUGAGCUAAUACCGGAUACGCCCUUUUGGGGAAAGGCUUGCUGCCGGAGGAUCGGCCCGCGUCUGAUUAGCUAGUUGGUGAGGUAACGGCUCACCAAGGCGACGAUCAGUAGCUGGUCUGAGAGGAUGAUCAGCCACACUGGGACUGAGACACGGCCCAGACUCCUACGGGAGGCAGCAGUGGGGAAUAUUGGACAAGGGGCGCAAGCCUGAUCCAGCCAUGCCGCGUGAGUGAUGAAGGCCUUAGGGUUGUAAAGCUCUUUUAUCCGGGACGAUAAUGACGGUACCGGAGGAAUAAGCCCCGGCUAACUUCGUG
rnacentral:rRNA from 1 species